rnacentral:rRNA from 1 species
UACGUAGGGGGCGAGCGUUACCCGGAUUUACUGGGCGUAAAGAGCGUGUAGGCGGCUGGCCAAGCGUGAUGUGAAAUCUUCGGGCUUAACCCGAAAACUGCAUUGCGAACUGGUCUGGCUAGAGUGUGUGAGAGGGUAGUGGAAUUCCCGGUGUAGCGGUGAAAUGCGUAGAUAUCGAGGAGGAACACCGGUGGCGAAGGCGGGUCCUCUGGGCCGUA